CUUUAACAAUUGAAAGUGCCCAAAUAACUCUUGGGGGCAUGAAAAAGACCUCGACGAUUGAAAGUGCCCAUACAAAGCUGGGGGGGCAUAAAAAAAAAUCCAAAGGAUCCAAAAAUUUUGAG